UACAGAGGGGCAAGCGUUAUUCGGAAUUAUUGGGCGUAAAGGGCGCGUAGGCGGUGUGUCGCGUCGGAUGUGAAAGCCCGGGGCUUAACCCCGAGUCUGCAUUCGAUACGGGCUAGCUAGAGUGUGGUAGGGGAGAUCGGAAUUCCUGGUGUAGCGGUGAAAUGCGCAGAUAUCAGGAGGAACACCGGUGGCGAAGGCGGAUCUCUGGGCCAUUACUGACGCUGAGGAGCGAAAGCGUGGGGAGCGAACAGG
rnacentral:rRNA from 1 species